rnacentral:rRNA from 1 species
GACGAACGCUGGCGGCGUGCUUAACACAUGCAAGUCGAACGGAAAGGCCCUGCUUUUGUGGGGUGCUCGAGUGGCGAACGGGUGAGUAACACGUGAGUAACCUGCCCUUGACUUUGGGAUAACUUCAGGAAACUGGGGCUAAUACCGGAUAGGAGCUCCUGCUGCAUGGUGGGGGUUGGAAAGUUUGGGCCGUUGGGGCUAGACUCGAGGCUUAUCAGCUUGUAGGUGGGGUAGUGGCAUACCAAGGCUUUGAACGGUAGCCGGCCUGAGAGGGUGACCGGCCACAUGGCGCCUACGGUACGGACCAGUAUCAUACGUGCCGCAAUAGUCGAGAGCAUGGCACAGCAGCCCGGAGUCAGAUGUGAAGGCGCUGCGUGCGUGAAACUCGCUUUUGGGGUGAGAACAAAUUUGGAAUGUGACAAAGACGUAUUGACGGUACCGGGUAAAAAAGCCCCGGCUAACUACGUG